CACAUAUUUUAACAUCUUAGCCAAAUUUCACGUGCCCGUCUGUCCUUCUCAUUUUUCAUUCAUUAGGAAGAUGUAAGUCACCUGUGAGCAUCUGCUCAUAAACGCAGAGGUCGCACAUGUGGAGCGUUUACGGAACAGAUAACAGCAUAUUCCAAUAUGGCUUCGGACGCAGAUUGUACAGAAAAUGCAGCGAGCCAGCUGACUGAUGAGGGCCUUUCGCCGGUCAAACAGAAGCUGGAAGACGUCGAAGGCAAACUGGUGAGCCUGUCUGAGAAGAUAACCCUGUGCAACAGAGUUCUGAAUGACUUGAAGGACCUAAGUGAUGUUCUAGUGAGACAAUCUGUUCACGAUGUGUCCCUGUCACCGCUGCGGAAGUGAGCAGAAGUGGAACAGUCCUUUCUUCUUCUUCUUCUUUUUUUACUUCUAUCAACUCAGUCAGUUUUAACCAUUGUAAGAUUUCAUUAAACGGAAGAAACAUUUCA